UACGUAGGGGGCAAGCGUUGUCCGGAAUCAUUGGGCGUAAAGAGCGUGUAGGCGGCUCGAUAAGUCUGCUGUGAAAGUCCAGGGCUCAACCCUGGAAGGCCGGUGGAAACUGUCGGGCUAGAGUCCGGAAGAGGCGAGUGGAAUUCCCGGUGUAGCGGUGAAAUGCGCAGAUAUCGGGAGGAACACCAAUGGCGAAGGCAGAUCUCUGGGCCGUAACUGACGCUGAGGAGCGAAAGCAUGGGGAGCGAACAGG
rnacentral:rRNA from 1 species